rnacentral:rRNA from 1 species
UACGGAGGGGGCUAGCGUUGUUCGGAAUUACUGGGUGUAAAGAGCGCGCAGGCGGCUUACCAAGUUGGGGGUGAAAUCCCGGGGCUCAACUCCGGAACUGCCUUCAAAACUGGUAGGCUUGAGUCCGGAAGAGGAUCGUGGAAUUCCCGGUGUAGCGGUGAAAUUCGUAGAUAUCGGGAAGAACACCGGUGGCGAAGGCGGCGACCUGGCCCGGUACUGACGAUCAGGCGCGAAAGCGUGGGGAGCAAACAGG